CAGUCGAGCGAUUUACUUCGGUAAAGAGCGGCGGACGGGUGAGUAACGCGUGGGUAACCUGCCCUGUACACACGGAUAACAUACCGAAAGGUAUGCUAAUACGAGAUAAAAUACUUUUAUCGCAUGGUAGAAGUAUCAAAGCUUUUGCGGUACAGGAUGGACCCGCGUCUGAUUAGCUAGUUGGUAAGGUAACGGCUUACCAAGGCGACGAUCAGUAGCCGACCUGAGAGGGUGAUCGGCCACAUUGGAACUGAGACACGGUCCAAACUCCUACGGGAGGCAGCAGUGGGGAAUAUUGCACAAUGGGCGAAAGCCUGAUGCAGCAACGCCGCGUGAGCGAUGAAGGCCUUCGGGUCGUAAAGCUCUGUCCUCAAGGAAGAUAAUGACGGUACUUGAGGAGGAAGCCCCGGCUAACUACGUGCCAGCAGCCGCGGUAAUACGUAGGGGGCUAGCGUUAUCCGGAAUUACUGGGCGUAAAGGGUGCGUAGGUGGUUUCUUAAGUCAGAGGUGAAAGGCUACGGCUCAACCGUAGUAAGCCUUUGAAACUGGGGAACUUGAGUGCAGGAGAGGAGAGUGGAAUUCCUAGUGUAGCGGUGAAAUGCGUAGAUAUUAGGAGGAACACCAGUUGCGAAGGCGGCUCUCUGGACUGUAACUGACACUGAGGCACGAAAGCGUGGGGAGCAAACAGGAUUAGAUACCCUGGUAG
rnacentral:rRNA from 1 species